CCAUUUGUUCAGGUCCUACCCUCUGGAGCAGCAAAAAACAAGCUUGUUCCAUCUUCCAUGUGACAGACCAUAUAUUUGAAGAUGGCUAUCAUAUAGCUUUCAGUCUCUUCUUCUCCAGGCUCUUCUUCUCCAGGCUGAACAAACCCAACUCCCUCAACC